rfam:Metarhizium robertsii ARSEF 23 MAA_Scf_5, whole genome shotgun sequence.
GCCCUCGUAGCACAGUGGUAGUGCGCGUCACUCGUAAUGACGAGGUCGUCUGUUCGAUCCAGGCCGCGGGCA